UAGGGAAUCUUCGGCAAUGGACGGAAGUCUGACCGAGCAACGCCGCGUGAGUGAAGAAGGUUUUCGGAUCGUAAAGCUCUGUUGUAAGAGAAGAACGAGUGUGAGAGUGGAAAGUACACACUGUGACGGUAUCUUACCAGAAAGGGACGGCUAACUACGUGCCAGCAGCCGCGGUAAUACGUAGGUCCCGAGCGUUGUCCGGAUUUAUUGGGCGUAAAGCGAGCGCAGGCGGUUAGAUAAGCCUGAAGUUAAAGGCUGUGGCUUAACCAUAGUAGGCUUUGGAAACUGUUUAACUUGAGUGCAAGAGGGGAGAGUGGAAUUCCAUGUGUAGCGGUGAAAUGCGUAGAUAUAUGGAGGAACACCGGUGGCGAAAGCGGCUCUCUGGCUUGUAACUGACGCUGAGGCUCGAAAGCGUGGGGAGCAAACAGGAUUAGAUACCCUGGUAGUCCACGCUGUAAACGAUGAGUGCUAGGUGUUAGACCCUUUCCGGGGUUUAGUGCCGUAGCUAACGCAUUAAGCACUCCGCCUGGGGAGUACGACCGCAAGGUUG
rnacentral:rRNA from 1 species